rnacentral:lncRNA from 1 species
AAUUUGAUACCUCUCAUUUGUUUUUUCUAAUAGUCUCAAUUAUACAGAACUCUUUCAUUUAAAAGAUGUUUUCUGAUUUAGACUGAGAGAAGACAAGGGGGAAGUCAUAUUGCCUUCUGUGUUUGAAAGCUGCUUUGUUGUAACAGCCCGGUCAGACAAACUACUCUGUCAUGGCAGAGCUGGGUUAGGAGGCCGCUGUUUCCAGCUGCUUGUUUCCAUCUCUUUGGUUAUCGGACUGGCCUGUUCCACAGUCCUGUGAAAUGAUCCGUGUUAACUGUCUUUGUUCCUUUCCCUGAACUGGAUGAGAAACUGGUCAGGUGAGUUAGGGGUAGAAACAAGCAGCUGUGAACAGCAGCUUCUUGCCUGUGUUCUGCUACAGGAAGAGUGCCCUUGCCCUUCUAGGUAUAACCUUUCCCUGAUCUAACAGUAAUGUGUUACUUAAAAUGAUCAAAUAUUCAAAAUUAAAGUUUCUUUUUCAGGUAAGUAUUAGGAAUAAUGGUUGAUCUUGGGAUCUUAAAUUGUAUUUAUGCCAAAUUGUUAAGCCUGUCAAAAUAAUGCUAACAGGUUUUAACUGAAAAUAAUUAUUUUUGCUGUCUUUUUGUUCUACCUCUGUUUCUCUCAGCAUAUGAAGUGGGAUGCCUCAAGUAAAUCAGAGAUAUGUGGAGCAGAGUGGCGCAGAGUGGCAUGGAAGAUUGCGUGACUAUGGUCACUUGUCUCCACUGUGCUACUGCUAUGGUCAGAAAAUAAGGAGGUGCACAGAAAGCUUCUAACAGGCGAAGGAAAUAUACUGGUGGUAAUAUAGAAAAGAGAACUGGAGGAAAAAAAAUUAAACUUGAGUGAAAAAGCAGAUACUAAUAACUUAUUGCAACUCUGGAAAAAGUAAGCAAAAGCUCCCAGACCCAGAUCUUGCAGGAAUCACUGUGACUAACUUCAAACAGCAUUAUUUUUCCCUGAAUUAAGAGGCGUAAUAACUUGAUACAAAGAAGAAAAAACAUUCAUGUUAUCAAAAAUGAGAAACUUCUCUGAAGAUUCUUCAUACACUGUUCACUAAGAAUGAUCUGUUUUACGAAGUUGCACUGACAUGUUGGCCAGUUCCUGGCUUUCAGUUAUGUGAAUAAUGAAUAUAAUUGCAACUUAAGUAAAUAUUAUCUCCAAAGUAAAACAAACUAUAAUAAACUUUAAAGACAAAACCCCA